ACAUUGUAUUAACCUUGCCUUUCAUCUAUGUUUUAAAGGGAAAUUCUCCAGAGGCGUCCAUUGAAGUUCUGUUUUUUUAAAUAUAAAGUGUAUCAAAGACUUUUAGGAGCCCAGGUGUGUGUUUAUCUGACUAUCUUUCAAAAAGCUGCUUCAGAGACUGCAAAAAGAUGUAUGUUCAGGAAUCUAUUUCAGGCAUUCUUACCAGCCAGCUAGUUACCCGACCCCUACUCCCUUCCCUGGCUUCCCGGCCCCCCACUCCCCCUUGCUGCUUCGAAACAAAAUAGCUUCUUUCCAAGCAGGUUGUUAUCAUAUUCAUGGCAUGGUCAAUUUCCGUUUGCCAAGAAAAUAUUUAGGCUGAUCAAAGACAUUAGAAAAUCGGAUGAAUAGAAACAGACGUUCCCACAAGAGAAGCGUUUCUCAACGUGAAGAGGCAGGCGGAUUGCAGCCCACCCAGUUACUCCUAGGAAAUAGCUCUCCUGCUAAAGGCAGAACUAUGGGGCCACCUGGAUUCUACCGGAAGGGCUAUGGAAGAGUCCGGAAAUUCACGUGGAGACUGGAGCUUGGGACUCUCCGAUGGCGGACAUGUGAGAUGAUCGGUUCUAGUAUCUAUCAGCAAACCUAGAAGGCCUUUAAUUACAUCCAUUAACACAGAGGGACCUUUCAAGACUGAAGAUACGCUGAAAGAGAGGAUGAGGUAAAAAGAGACACAGAGAGAGACCAAACCUGGAGACACACACGGAGAGAGAGGGUAACUUCCCCAAACACACGCACACCAACUCCAGCACGGUCCCCAUUCACUAACAGCAAGUGGAUGGGAAAGAACCUUGACAACACAAAACUCAUUUACUAAUGGACUGGUUUUGGAUUUCUCUCUUUCGGGUCCGCAUAUCGCCCCGCCUGAGCCCUCGGCCUAUCCAGAGCUCGCGGGGAGCAGCGUCCCCCAGGAGGCAGGUGGGAGGCUGCUCCGGCGCCGCGCCGCCCUCGGAGCCCGGCAUCCGGAGGGGUCGAGGGCACCUGGAGUUUCCGACCAAGUAAAGGAAAAAGAUGAACGUUGACACUUCAGCCAGGAUUUGGGAUCCUCACUGCCCCAGAGCGACGACGCUAAUUUAUUGAUGAAACACCUUCCAAAGCCCUUCCCUCCUAAAUAUCUGUAGGUAGAGUAGAAUCCUCGCUGUCGUUCUUGAUGGCAAAAGAAUUCCAAGAAAGCGGGCCAGGAGCCUCCAAGCAGCUCGCUCCAAGCCAGAAGGGAAAUAAGUGGGUCUCAGCCAGAGGACACAAGGCCUUGUUUUAACCCGACCUAGAAACUCUAACACCACCUGAUGCCUCCGCAUCAACCUUUCCACAGACCAGUUGUGUGCAUCCGGCGGUUACCUGCACGGCGGAGGCACAAAAGACCAGAAACCUGGCGCUGGUAGCCCCU
ensembl:lncRNA